rnacentral:lncRNA from 1 species
GGGUGAGAAAGCUGUCCAAAAGAAGCCGGCGAAAAAAGUGCCCGGAAGUGGGCUCACGCGCGCGGCGCGUGUGGGGAAGCGGCGGCGCGUGGGCGGCGCGUGGGAGCGCGUGCUGUGGUUUCCGGCGACGAAAUUUUCAGAAAAUGUGCGCCAGACACUGUGUGUCACAAUGGUGUGAGAGGUGAGUCCAAGAAACUCCCGAGGGAUGUCGAAACACUGUCGGAACAGUGUUCCGGGCAGUGGGAGUAAGGGGGGAGAAGGUGGGGUAGUGGCACUUACCUGGUGGUUACCUGGGGGUGCCGGCGACCCGCCCGGUGAUGGUGGUGAAGCUGGUGGUGUGAGCUUAAAGAGAGAGAGGAGAAGAGAGAG